AUGCAUCUAUUUGACAAACCUGAGCAGUUACUAUCUACUGCUAAAGUUUCCACUACAGAUGCUAGAAAAAAGUGUCCUCACAUUUUCUGUCUGUCUGAUUGUGGCAGCCAAGACUGAGUAGAGGAAAAGAAGA